rnacentral:rRNA from 1 species
UACGUAGGGUGCGAGCGUUAAUCGGAAUUACUGGGCGUAAAGCGUGCGCAGGCGGUUUUGUAAGUCAGAUGUGAAAUCCCCGGGCUUAACCUGGGAACUGCGUUUGAAACUACAAGGCUAGAGUGUAGCAGAGGGGGGUGGAAUUCCACGUGUAGCAGUGAAAUGCGUAGAGAUGUGGAGGAACACCGAUGGCGAAGGCAGCCCCCUGGGUCAACACUGACGCUCAUGCACGAAAGCGUAGGGAGCAAACAGG